AAAAGGAAGGAAGGGCAGGGAAGGAAGGAAUGAAGGAAGGAGGGAGGGAAGAAAGGAGGGAAAGAAGGAUAUUGGAAGGAAGGAGGAGGAGAGGAGAUUUCAAUAAUAUAGUCAGCUCAGACCACCAAGAAAAAUCUGAAAGGUGUUCUCCAGAGCAUUGAGAAUAUUGAAGAACAACAGAUGCCUGAGAGUUGAAGUCCACCCACCGUGAAGCUGCCAAGGCUGAGAAACAUAGGGCUGGAGUAAAGAGGGAAGGGGAGCAGCUUGGACCCUGUUACAUCAGGAGUCAGGGGAAGGCCAGCCCAGAGAGCAAGGAAGGGGCAAACGAGGAUAAAUAGAGUAAAUACAUACAAGGUGUCCCAGAGAGGGUGGAGUGCUGGAGAGGAUGCUUCUGCACAAACAGGAUUUCAUGCCAGUGCUUAAAGCACUCCACCGGCAUCUCUGUUUCUUCGUUUUUAAAAAUAUAAUGUUAUGAAAAUUGUGAAGAAAGAAGAUAAAACAUGAAUAGAAAUUAAUAUAGAGUAAGAAAAAGAGAAAAGGAAGAAGAGAAAGAAAGAAGUAAAAGUACCAAAGCAAAUGAAAGAGAGAAAAUACAAAGAAGUACCUUCCAAUUUUCUUCGUAACCAUUACAGAAUGCGCGCUCUGAAGAAAUCUCUUCAGAUUGGACGGCGUUUUCUUCAAGCAACUCUCCUGCCAAGCCCCAUAUAUUGUGCUCAAAAGGCCGGGCUUUCUGGUUUAAAUUGGACAGGGGCCCAGCAGUUCUUCAAAAGAGGACUGAACUUUAUGAAAUAAAGAGCUAUGGUUUAACCUCUCCUCAAUUACUUACUUAGCAGACCCGUUGCGAAGGUGCACGCCACCCAUCCUAACAACUGACCCUUGGCUAGCAGAACAGAAAUUAAUCCCAGCACCUACGUCUAAGAUAGUCCUCGGCUUAACAACCACAAGUGGGAGCAAGGAAGGUUGCAAGUCAUGGUCAUGUGAUAUCUCACUAAACAACCUCUGGCGAUUCACUUAUGGACCAUGCUGGCUGGGGAAUUCUGGGAGUUGAAGUCCACCCCUCUUAACCUUGCCAAGGUUGAGAAAUGCUGCUCUACAUCUUGAGAUGUCAUGAUCAACUGUCCACCUGUAUUAAAGUCACAACAUAAACACAAGCUGGUGUGCCGGGAGAGCAACAACAUUCCUACCCCAUCUCUUCCUCCUUGCAGAGUACAACCAUCUGCUCACUUAGACGUGUUGUUUUGUCUACAACACUGAAAUAGGCCUUGAAAUGUAACAUCAGCUGGAAAAGCUCGCUCAGUCCUCCAUCUGCAGUGUUUCACUUCUGCUGAGCACAUCUGCAAGGCAACAGCUGCCUUUAUUCUCCGAUCAGUACAUGUGCACAUGAGUGGUGGGAAAGGGAGAACCGUGGUCUCGCUCUUCAGGUCAAGCUGAGAAGGAGAGGAACAAUCUGACGUAUUGUGGUGCGUGCAAGUUACAGAAAUUGGUCGAGUCUCAGUUGUAUCAGCAGAGCUUGUAAAGUGCAGUACACCUUUCAAGGAUGUUGGGAGAAUGGACCACCACCCGCUUUCUUGAAGGACUAGAAGACCUCCAAGGUUCCUGUCUUCUUGAGGAUCGUGAUCAUUCAAGGCCACCCUCCCAGUUUGGGCUGGACUGGCCAUCCCAUUGCAAAAUCAUCAUCAAUACUGACAUCAGCCAAAGCAUAGAAAGACUCAAAGAAAUAGAGAACAGAAGAUGUGGAGAAUUGCCAAGAGUUGGACAUGACUGAAUGGAUAACAGCAUCAUCCCAUUGCGAAAUAUGUCAUGACAAAAUAUGGGAAAUUCCCAGCUCCUAAUGCCUGAUGCAAGGGCCCUGCUCAACUGUUAUGACAUCAUCAAGUCAGGGCCUUGCCCAAAGGAUCUCACCUGCCCCAGGUAUUGCUGGAUUUCAUUCUCCCUGUGACAAGAAUCUCAGAUGAGGUCAUUGGAGAGGGAGAAGGAAGGAGUAGUAAUUCAUGACAGCCGAGGCAUCAUGUGGUUGGGGAUGCAAAUCCAAAGAAGACCUCCAAGGUCCCUUCCAACUCUAUUAUUCUGUUAUUCUGAAUUGGAUUCUCCAUAUCCUUUUUAUAGAAAAAGGACUUUAUGACUCCAAUUCCUCGCUGGAUUGAAAAACAGAUGUUCCUGGAGACUUAUUAACAAGUUGCCUACAGACACAGAGAAUGAAUGGAUAAUUACAGUGAACUAUGGUUAUCCUUUAUUGAAUCUAUUAAAAGUUUUAGUACUUAUGGACAUGUAUGAAAGGCCCUUGUAGGCAUAAUAUUUUUAACAGGUUUGGAGGUUAUUCCUGUUCUGUUGAAAGGCAAUUUAAGUAAUGGUGGAAGCUAGUACAGUAAAGAAAAAUAAAGUACAAUACAGUAGAAAGAGGAAAGUGAAAAGUAAAGUAAAUGGUGGCGAUCAUUAUAGAGUGAUCCAGCUUGGAACUAAGGAGAAACUUCCUGACAGUGAGAACAAUUAAUCAGUGGAACGACUUGCCUUCAGAAGUUGUGAAUGCUCCAGCACUGGAGGCUUUUAAGAAGAGACUGGACAGCCAUUUGUCCAGAUGCUAUAGGGCCUCUUGCUUUAGCAGGGGGUUGGACCAGAAGACCUCCAAGCUCCCUUCCAGCCCUACAAUUCUAUGAUUCUAAGUGAGGAUAUGAUCAGGGUAUAAAAGAGGUCCUAUCUUUCAUCUCAGUUAUGCUGGUACACAUGAGAUUAAAGCUGUUGUUUUUCUUUUCCAUCUGUUAAGCAGAUAGUAUCUGUGUUGACUUUCUGUGCUCAGCUGAAAAUAUGCCUGAAUAGUGACUUUUGAGUGGCAUUGCAUGACUAUUUGAAUUUACAGGAGGGAGGAAGUCUUUGGGGUUGUGAGGUUCAAUACACACAGAUGUGAGCCCAUCCCUCGAGAUAUGUGACACCAAAACAAGAGAAGCUAUUUCAACCUACCAAUUGGAUGCGAGAACCGAACGCCAGACUCUACCCAUUGGAAUGUGAUUAAAAUUCUCCGUUCCUUCACUCACCAGCUUUGGAAAGCAGACCGGAAAAUCCCUUUUGCUCAAGGCUAAUGGCCCGUGAAACAGGUUGCCACAGAAGCUGUAACCCUGUCUUGGCUCUAUGGCUAAUUCUAUAGGGACCCUGGGGUAUAGUUGAUCUCCCCUCUCCAGGUCCAGUGGAACAGCUUGCCUUCAAAAGUUGAAGGUGCUUCAUCCCUGGAGGUUUUUAGGAAAAGACUGGACAGCCACCUGUCUGAAAUGGCAUAGAGUCUCCUGCUUGAGCAGUGGGUUGGACUAGAAGACCUCCAAGGCUCCUUCCAGCUCUAAUCUGAUUCUGAUUCCUCUCUAAAUCCCCAGAGAAUUGUGGCAUUUUUUUUUUUUACUUGGGGGAGCUGUUAGACAACCAAGACAAUUCCAUAUCCCUAAGCAUGGCUGGGUUUCAUUACACGGUGUGUAAACUCUACUCCACCAUAAGCUGUAAAUGCUAAUUGUCACGCAAUUAUUAUGGAGGUAUUUAUUAGUCACAGCCAAA